rnacentral:rRNA from 1 species
CAGACGAUGCGUCAUGCAUAUCAAUAAGCGGAGGAAAAGAAACUAACAAGGAUUCCCUCAGUAACGGCGAGUGAAGCGGGAAGAGCUCAAAUUUGAAAUCUUGAAAGGUCACCUUUCACGAAUUGUAGUUUAAAGAAGUGUUUUCUGUUACGAUCGUAAUAUAAGUUCUUUGGAAUAGGACAUCACAGAGGGUGAGAAUCCCGUCUAUGAUUGCGAUUUGUAGCUUUGUGAUACACUUUCAAAGAGUCGGGUUGUUUGGGAAUGCAGCCCAAAACGGGAGGUAAAUUUCUUCUAAGGCUAAAUAUUGGCGAGAGACCGAUAGCGAACAAGUACCGUGAGGGAAAGAUGAAAAGAACUUUGAAAAGAGAGUUAAAUAGUACGUGAAAUUGUCAAAAGGGAAGCGUUUAACACCAGUGUUGUUUUCUGAAAAUCAACCUCUGUUAGCUUUAUGCAUGUUUGUUUAGACCUAAUCAGCUAUCUUGCAUGUUCUAUUGUUUGCAGUGGUGCACUUUUCAGUUUACAGGUCAACAUCAGUUUUUUUUACCGUAAAAAAGUUAAAGAAAGGUAGCUCAUGGCUCCGGUCGUGAGUGUUAUAGUCUUUUUCCUAUGCGGUAGGAGAGACUGAGGUCUGCAGUGUAGGCUAUUUGGCUAGAUACUCAGGUGCUAUGUGAUACCAUUUCAUAAACAACUUGUUGAUUAUGUUUUGUCUAUUGCAUACUCGCUUGUACUAUCAUACCUGCGCUUAGGAUGUUGAAGACUCUACAGAGAUA